rnacentral:rRNA from 1 species
GUGUCAGCAGCCGCGGUAAUACGUAGGGUGCGAGCGUUAAUCGGAAUUACUGGGCGUAAAGCGUGCGCAGGCGGUUCGCUAAGACAGGUGUGAAAUCCCCGGGCUCAACCUGGGAACUGCGCUUGUGACUGGCGGGCUGGAGUACGGCAGAGGGGGGUGGAAUUCCUGGUGUAGCAGUGAAAUGCGUAGAUAUCAGGAGGAACAUCGAUGGCGAAGGCAGCCCCCUGGGCCGCUACUGACGCUCAUGCACGAAAGCGUGGGGAGCAAACAGGAUUAGAAACCCCAGUAGUCC